rnacentral:rRNA from 1 species
AGUGAACGCUGGCGGCGUGCCUAAUACAUGCCAGUCGAACGGAGAUUAAGUAGCUUGCUAUUUAAUCUUAGUGGCGCACGGGUGAGUAAUAUAUAGCUAACUUGCCCAUUACUAAGGGACAACAGUUGGAAACGACUGCUAAUACCUUAUACUCCGUAUCUAUAUAAGUAGAUACGGGAAAGUUUUUCGGUAAUGGAUAGGGCUAUAUCGUAUCAGCUAGUUGGUAAGGUAAUGGCUUACCAAGGCUAUGACGCGUAACUGGUCUGAGAGGAUGAUCAGUCACACUGGAACUGAGACACGGUCCAGACUCCUACGGGGAGCAGCAGUAGGGAAUAUUGCUCAAUGGGGGAAACCCUGAAGCAGCAACGCCGCGUGGAGGAUGACACUUUUCGGAGCGUAAACUCCUUUUCUUGGGAAAGAAUUAUGACGGUACCCAAGGAAUAAGCGCCGGCUAACUCCGUG